GGUCUGUUAACGAAUCAGACAGCUGCAACUGAUCCUGCACACUGCUGAUUUCAGCCAUGACAUUGACCAUGCAUGAACUGUUUUCUCUUAUUCACAUUUGACUGCUCUGAAAGGGGGCAUUGGGUGAAAAAGCUCUGGCUAAUGGAGAGGAAGAUGGAUGAGAUGGUUUUGGUGAAAUGCUUUGGUUGUGACAGAUUCAUGCUGUCACUGCAGAACAGCUGAGUUAGAUGAUUGCAUGACCGUCUGCAGCCAUCAAGAAGUGGAGAAGGAUGUUAAUCAUCCACGGAUUAAAUCCAGUCGUUGCUCUGCAGUUUGACCGAAAGCUGACUCUUGAGGGCUGGAGCGAAACUGUCAAGAAGUGGCUUCAUUACACACCAGAACGAGAGGAAGACAUCGCAAGGAAUCAAAGUGACGCCAACCAGAGUCAAACUAGGGUUACCACAACUUGUACUGUUUCCCUAGUUCAUACAAUACAAAGCUUAACCUCAUGGACUCUGUUCUUCUGUGGACAACAGACUGUUGUUUUGACAGUCAAAAAGGUGUCAAAUAUGUUUAAAGAUCUGUCCCUCUUUUCUUAAAUAAAAUGUUAUAUCAAACCCAUAUUGU